CAAAGUCUAGCCAGAAACUUAAUACCUCUCAGGAAGUGAGGAGAUCUUGACUUCACUCUCAAUUUAUGUAUCAACCCAUCACCUUGUAUGAAGAUUAAACUUCUUGCAAUAGGAGGGUAAAAAUCUCCUCUGUUAUUCCUAUGGGAGAGAGAACUCUCUUUCCUGGCCAGCAAUGGAAACAGACAACUUACCGUGCUCACUACAUUCCAGGCACUGUUGUACGUUAACUCAUCCAGUUAUCUCAGCAACCCAACAAGCUCAGACCCACAGCACCAGAAUGGUACCAGGUACUUAAGAGGUUCUCGUUGAAAGGUGAAUGCAUGGUGGAGAAAGAAGCAAUCCCUGCUCUUAGAAAGUGUCUCCUGUGAGU
rnacentral:lncRNA from 1 species